AUUAACAAAGCCAGGCCAUCCUAGAGGCUGAGGGCUCUGGAGGAGGCUGGCAGGAAGAGGUUGAGGGAGGGAACUGUGCAUCUUCCCUGUGACAAAGUCAUCCUGUCCCUCGCUUUCUCUUUCCACCCUAUCCCCAUCCCCCCACCACAGUCAAGGCCUUCUUAGAGGAAUUCAGAAAGUGUGGUGGCUGUUCAGAGUGAGGAAGACCCCUCUCGCUGGCUUGGCAGAGUCCCAGGACCUUCCCAGUGUGAGCCCACCGAGAUGUCACCUCCUCCCCACGGCCUGCCCGUCUCUGCUCCUGGGAAGCCAAGCUGGGCAGCGGUGGGUUAAGCCAGCCUCAUCAAAUAUGUGCUCAUGAAAAAUGUAAAAUGUUCCAAGGAUGCAGCUUAAUAAAUGUCAGCAGGUAAGGCACUGGGCUAAUUGAUGUGCUACCUAGUUUUGCAUGGCCUCUGUGUUUACUUUCCUACUCCAUUGAAACAUGCACCUGACAACCCUGAGUUAUUGUUUUUAAAAAAAUUUAAAGAUUUUUGAUUUAUUUUUUUGAAAGAGAGAGAGAGAGAGAAUGAGCACACAAGCAAGGGGGGAGGGGCAGAAGGAGAGGGAGAAGCAGAGUCCCCAUUGAGCAGGGAGCCUGAUGUGGGGCUCGAUAGAUCCCAGAACCCUGGGAUCAUGACGUGAGCUGAACUGAGCCACCCAGCCGCCCCAAGCCCUGCAUUAUUUAUGCUCCUUCAGACACAGGACUCUUCCUGCCAAAGCCUGCCCCACAAGAGGGCAGGGACAAAGGGAAGAGCUUAGGAAGAGAAAGAACUGAAAUAAUCCACAUUAAACUUGAAACUCGCUACAAAGAAGCCAGGCCUGUCCCACUGAUUGAAGAGGGUGGAAGCCAGCUCUGUCCUUUCCAGUUAUCUGAUCACAGCAGUGCAGCUUCAGUCAUCCUGCCAUCGGGACCUCCUUGUCAUCCAGUCCUGUGGUCUCGUCAUCAUCCUCAUCAUACGGUACCUCCUCACGGCACCCAACUCUUCUCUCUCAUAGAAACCCCUUUUCUUGGUCCUGGCAUUGUUUCCCUGCCUUCUAGAUUGUUCCUCCCAUUCACCCCCUGACACACACACACAUGCUCCGAAUUUGUCCUUCUCCCCUUUGUCUGUGUGCUGAUGCAGCCAAGGGUUCAGAGCCAGUUAGACAUCUCCAGUCACAAGGACUGAGGGACUCCCUGACCUCUGUCCUUGGAGGUCUCCUGUUGGAAUGCACUACAGGUGGACAAGCCAGAUCAGAGACAACAGAAGUGGUGUUGCUUUGUUGGGAUCUGCGCUCUGUGUGAAUUUGUGGCAUUUUUGCUCAGACAAGUGGGAAAACCCAAACCCAUGUCCUGUGCCUUUCAAGAUGGGAGAUGCACAGAAGUAAAGAUCCCAAAGGUCCCCUGUGAAGGGACACUGGAAUGAUUGUAAAACCACAGACAAACAGGGGCACCUGGGUGGCUCAGGUGGUUAAGUGUCUGCCUUCAGCUCAGGUCAUGAUCCCAGGGUCCUAGGAUCAAGUCCUGAGACAGGCUCCCUGCUUAGCAGGGAGCCUACUUCUCCCUCUCCCUCUGCUCUGCUCAUGCUCUCUCAAAUAAAUAAACAAAAUCUUUAAACA
rnacentral:lncRNA from 12 species